ACAGCAGCAGCCGCGGUAAUACCGAGGGUGCAAGCGUUAAUCGGAAUUACUGGGCGUAAAGCGCGCGUAGGUGGUUUGUUAAGUUGGAUGUGAAAUCCCCGGGCUCAACCUGGGAACUGCAUCCAAAACUGGCAAGCUAGAGUAUGGUAGAGGGUGGUGGAAUUUCCUGUGUAGCGGUGAAAUGCGUAGAUAUAGGAAGGAACACCAGUGGCGAAGGCGACCACCUGGACUGAUACUGACACUGAGGUGCGAAAGCGUGGGGAGCAAACAGGAUUAGAUACCCCCGUAGUCCCUGUCUCUUAUAC
rnacentral:rRNA from 1 species